rnacentral:rRNA from 1 species
CCUACGUGGGUCAGCAGUGAGGAAUAUUUGUCAAUGGGCGCGAGCCUGAACCAGCCAAGUAGCGUGAAGGAUGACUGCCCUACGGGUUGUAAACUUCUUUUAUAAAGGAAUAAAGUGAGGCACGUGUGCCUUUUUGUAUGUACUUUAUGAAUAAGGAUCGGCUAACUCCGUGCCAGCAGCCGCGGUAAUACGGAGGAUCCGAUCGUUAUCCGGAUUUAUUGGGUUUAAAGGGAGCGUAGAUGGGUUGUUAAGUCAGUUGUGAAAGUUUGCGGCUCAACCGUAAAAUUGCAAUUGAUACUGGCAGUCUUGAGUACAGUUGAGGUAGGCGGAAUUCGUGGUGUAGCGGUGAAAUGCUUAGAUAUCACGAAGAACUCCGAUUGCGAAGGCAGCUUACUAAACUGCCACUGACAUUGAUGCUCGAAAGUGUGGGUAUCAAACAGGAUUAGAUACCCCAGUAGUC